GAGAUCGGUGUAAACGUCGCGGGUGCGUUU
rnacentral:sRNA from 1 species